GCCCAUUCCAGUAUCACCAUGGAAACGUCACCCCUUCCGAACAAUAAUGAGUUGAAAAUGAAUACAGGAGCUGAGUAGUGAACCUAAGGUACACAUAGAAAGAUGCUUCCAUGAGACCGACUUUCUACAUUAUUAUGAGAUACGUCCUAAGUUCCCAGCACUCCAUUAAUUUGUCACUGGUUGAAAGUUAAGAUGGCCAUAUGAAACAUAAGAAAUUCCAUUAUAUUUGAAGUUAUGAUGAAUAGCAGAUUACAGUAUCAU